rnacentral:misc_RNA from 1 species
AGCAGCCGCGGUAAUUCCAGCUCCAAUAGCGUAUAUUAAAGUUGCUGCAGUUAAAAAGCUCGUAGUUGAAUUUCGGGAUUGACACAUCGGUCGUGCCUUAAGGGGUAUGAACUGGUGUAGUCAAUUUCUCACCUUCUGGAGAACCGCGAUGCCCUUAAUUGGGUGUCGCGGGGAACCAGGACCUUUACUUUGAAAAAAUUAGAGUGUUUAAAGCAGGCAUUUUGCUUGAAUACAUUAGCAUGGAAUAAUAAAAUAGGACGGCAUGAUUCUAUUUUGUUGGUUUCUAGGAUCACCGUAAUGAUUAAUAGGGAUAGUUGGGGGCAUUAGUAUUCAAUUGUCAGAGGUGAAAUUCUUGGAUUUAUUGAAGACUAACUACUGCGAAAGCAUUUGCCAAGGAUGUUUUCAUUAAUCAAGAACGAAAGUUAGGGGAUCGAAGACGAUCAGAUACCGUCGUAGUCUUAACCAUAAACUAUGCCGACUAGGAAUCAGACGAUGUUAAUUUUUUAAUGACUCGUUUGGC